GUGAACUGCGAAUGGCUCAUUAAAUCAGUUAUAGUUUAUUUGAUGGUACCUUGCUACAUGGAUAACUGUGGUAAUUCUAGAGCUAAUACAUGCAAUCAAGCCCCGACUUCCGGAAGGGGUGUAUUUAUUAGAUAAAAAACCAACGCGGUUCGCCGCUCCAUUGGUGAUUCAUAAUAACUUCUCGAAUCGCACGGCCUUGUGCUGGCGAUGCUUCAUUCAAAUAUCUGCCCUAUCAACUUUCGAUGGUAGGAUAGUGGCCUACCAUGGUUUCAACGGGUAACGGGGAAUAAGGGUUCGAUUCCGGAGAGGGAGCCUGAGAAACGGCUACCACAUCCAAGGAAGGCAGCAGGCGCGCAAAUUACCCAAUCCCGACACGGGGAGGUAGUGACAAUAAAUAACAAUAUAGGGCUCUUUUGGGUCUUAUAAUUGGAAUGAGUACAAUUUAAAUCCCUUAACGAGGAACAAUUGGAGGGCAAGUCUGGUGCCAGCAGCCGCGGUAAUUCCAGCUCCAAUAGCGUAUAUUAAAGUUGUUGCAGUUAAAAAGCUCGUAGUUGAACUUCAGACCUGGCCGGAUGGUCUGCCUCACGGUAUGUACUGUCUGGCUGGGCCUUACCUCUUGGUGAGCCGGCAUGCCCUUUACUGGGUGUGUUGGGGAACCAGGACUUUUACCUUGAGAAAAUUAGAGUGUUCAAAGCAGGCCUAUGCCCGAAUACAUUAGCAUGGAAUAAUAAAAUAGGACGUGCGGUUCUAUUUUGUUGGUUUCUAGAGUCGCCGUAAUGAUUAAUAGGGAUAGUUGGGGGCAUUAGUAUUCAGUUGCUAGAGGUGAAAUUCUUGGAUUUACUGAAGACUAACUAUUGCGAAAGCAUUUGCCAAGGAUGUUUUCAUUAAUCAAGAACGAAGGUUAGGGGAUCGAAAACGAUCAGAUACCGUUGUAGUCUUAACAGUAAACUAUGCCGACUAGGGAUCGGGCGAACUCAAUUUUAUGUGUCGCUCGGCACCUUACGAGAAAUCAAAGUCUUUGGGUUCUGGGGGGGAGUAUGGUCGCAAGGCUGAAACUUAAAGGAAUUGACGGAAGGGCACCACCAGGAGUGGAGCCUGCGGCUUAAUUUGACUCAACACGGGGAAACUCACCAGGUCCAGACAUGACUAGGAUUGACAGAUUGAUAGCUCUUUCAUGA
rnacentral:rRNA from 1 species